AUGGAUCCUCCGCAGAUCGCCGGACGGGGAAGUGACGACCGCUUAAGCAAGCUCCGCGACGGCGUGCUCGGCCACAUCCUCUCCUUCCUCGACGCCAAGGAGGCCGGGCGCGCCGCUGCGCUCUCGUCGCGGUGGCGCCACGUCUUCGCCAGCGUCCACACCGUCUCGCUGGAGCAGCCGGAAGAGCCCGUACCCGAUUACGACUACGACGGCGGAUACCGGCUCCGUCGCUACGAUCCGAACCAGCCAACGCCCUUCACCGUUGUCGUCAACAAGGCACUAUUCGCCCGCUUCCGUCGGCCGGCCAUUGCCGCCCCAUCAGUGCCCCUGCGCGCGCUCCGCGUCACCAUGGAUGAUUACGGCCGCGGGGACGCCUCCACGGUGAACGAGUGGGUCGCUUGCGCCUUCAGUUUAGCCGCCCCCGAGCUCGAGAUCCAGCUUGACCUAGGCCAAGUCCCGGUCUGCAAGCGACCCGACCCCUUCCGUGCCGCCGCCGCCACCGCCAAUAGCGAAUGUGAUGAUCACUCUGCCGGGAAGCAGUCUCCCGUGCCCAAGGACGUCGACAUCGAUGACAAAGAUGUCGCCUCCGGCGAUGAUGAGAGGGAUCCUGCAGGGGAGCAGCCUCCCGUGCCCAAGGGCGUCGACACCGAUGACGAAGAAGAUGUCGCCUCCAGCGAUGACGAAGAUGUGGCCUCCAGCGAUGACGAGAAGGGUUCUAGAUCGCGGAGCUCGCCGUCCCCACGCGACUCGCAGUACACCGUCGUGAGGCAGCUCUUCUCCUUCGCGGCAUUGCGGUCACUCCGUCUUGGUAACUGCAGGCUCUGCCCGCCAGUGACCAUCAGCCUGCCGGCUCUCGAAGCGCUCAGCCUCACUCACGUCCCUGACGCAGAGGAGCACGUGCAGAAGCUCAUCUCCGCCUGCACAAGCCUCAAGGACCUGACUCUCGAGGCCUGCGGCACCGUCACCACGCUCUCCCUCCUCGACAACACAAGUCUCCAUAGGCUCGUCCUCCGAUGCUGCCACAAGCUUGCCAAUGUCACCAUCAACGCUAUGGAGCUCCACACGUUUGAGUACCGCGGUGCAGUUCCCGGCAACUCGUUCCUCACCGUGCCAGGCGGCGGCUUCCCAUCCAUCACGUCAUGCAAGAUCGCCAUCUGCACGGUCUGCCUCCUCGAGGAGGCCACGUCGGAGGAGCAGCUCGCCAUGCUCGGUUCGUUCCUACAGCCGUUCACGUCCACAAAACACCUUCACCUAUGCGCCGCCCGCAUGGGCUCCUGCUUCGUGGCGCUCGACUUGUUCCAGGCCCUCCGGCACCUCCAGCUAAAUGGGCGUGUGACAAACAGCGAUGUAGCCGCCGCCGCUGCGACCAGCACAAUCCUCCAGCGGGCCACGAACCUGGAGACGCUGACCCUGUUCUUCGAGACCGGGCCUCACGAACUCGAGACUCGCGUCAGCGGCCUGCGCUACUGCAGCAACCGCAGAAAAGGUGAGCUCCUGGACGCGCAUCACCUCCACUACAGCAAGUACGACACCCUCGACUUGGCGGGCGUGCCGAUCCCACGGUGCCUGGGGAGCAGCGUGAGAAGGAUCAACCUGCUGCAUUACCAAGGCGGCAGAGCGCAGAGGGCGCUCGCCAGGUACUUGCUCCGCAACGCUCUGGUGCUCGACAAGCUCUACUGCGAGUUGGAGGAGGGGCCACUGUGGAUCCAGGAGGAAUUGGUGCGGGAGAUGGAAGGCUGGGUGGUGAACGAGAGUGCCAGCACGGUGUUCCACUGA
rnacentral:rRNA from 1 species